GUUUUAUUGAAUAAUAUUCCAUAAUAAGACAUCAGCCGGAAGUUACUAUAGAAAUGUACACAGGUCUGAUAUCAAACUCAGAGAGAGUGGGGGAGCGGCCUUUGGGUCUCUAUUUACUGAGGAGGAGGAGUCAUUCCUUAUUUAGAGAGGGUCAGAGAGGGACCUGUGGGUUUCUAUUUACUGAGGAGGAGUCAUUCCUUAGUCAGACAGGGUCAGGGAGGGGCCUGUGGGUCACUAUUUACUGAGGAGUCACCCCUUACUCAGAUAGGUUGGGGGAGGGGCCUGUGGGUCUCUGAGGUGGAUCCCUAAUCAGGGGACUUGGUAAAUGGUGGUGCAUGCAUGCUAUGCAAUGAUUGUGUCCACCUGGACAUUUGAUCCUUAUUGCAGACUGCUGGACUGUUCUGCAGCUGGUCAGUCCUCAUUGCUAACUGGUAAUCUACCUACGUUUCCACGUAGGUAGGUAGUCCUUGCUGCAUUGUCCAGGGUCUUUAGUCCAGUUUGUGUUGUGGCUGCUGUGUUAGUAGACUGAGACAGUGGAGGGUCCCACAUGGUGAGUCCUGAUUGUGUUCAUUGUCCCCUGGUAACAGUGGAGGGUCCCACAUGGUGAGUCCUGACUGUGUUCAUUGUCCUCUGGUAACAGUGGAGGGUCCCACAUGGUGAGUCCUGACUGUGUUCAUUGUCCUCUGGUAACAGUGGAGGGUCCCAAAUGGUGAGUCCUGACUGUGUUCAUUGUCCCCAUGGUAACAGUUUAGGGAGGUGGUCAGCCCUUCUUUCGUUGGGCCCAUCAGUGCCAUGGCCUGUCUUAUUACUUAUGGCUCUUAUUGGAAGACAACGGUUUGUUUUGGAAGACAAGAGGAAACGAUUGAGAUAAACCAAAAGCCAAAGAGGAGAAAAGACAGGGCGUGGUUAGUUUUUGGAAAACUUACGACCAUGACCCAGAGCCCAGUAGGGUUAAGAAAGGUUGUAAGAUUCAGACAGACAGGUGUUAGUCUUUAGGACAGAUUUUUAUGUUUCCACAUACUAUUUUGCAACAACAUUUACAGUUAGCUCAUUGUAAUGUUUCUGGUAUCCUGUAACACAUUCACACUGCAGUAUUGAGUUGGAGUGGAUGCUCAAUGGGAAGGCAUCAUUUAGCAUUCUCUGGGAGUGACCAUUCCACUCCACCAAAACAACUGGUGUUACUCACCUGUAGAGGAGGUGAACAUGAAGGAAAGCAAAAGCCAAUCUUCCAAGAGUCCAAAUCGGAAAACC
ensembl:lncRNA